rnacentral:lncRNA from 1 species
UUAAACUAUUUACUACUUGAAAAUCAUCUUAAGCAUCAUCUUUUUCAAGCUUUGAAAUAAUCUAUAAGGUGAAUAUUAUUCCCAUUUUUCAGAUGAGGAACCUGACAUUACAUAACUUGCUUCUUCCAAGUGCCUCCUCCAAAGGUCAAAGCUGGGGCCACACAGGUGGGUGCCUACCACCCUGAAAGGCACAGUCCUCUGAUGUCCCCAUCUGAUGCAAAGAGUCCAGUUCUUGUGUUGUGAACACAAGUAGAUCCACUCCUCUUUGAGACUGAUUCCCUGGAAGGGAUCCCAUGCCACUGCCUGGCCCAAGACUCUUGGCUGCAGGAAGCUGACCUGCUUUUAUCCACAGAGUCAGCAAAAUGUGAAGAUAAUUUAUAAUAGCCAUUAGCAGAGUGCAUUUGAGGUCAAGUAUGAACUUCCUGAACUUCAGCUCUACACAGAUCUGUGCAGGAGCAAAGAGGAGUCAAAUUUCUGGAAGCAAUCUAACCAUAACAAACGAAGACUGUGUUGCUUCAAGGCUUUUAGGUAUCGCAUCCAGAGAGGCAGGUUGGUAGCUCAGCCAGCCAAAGGGUGUCUGCUUCAGGGGAGAACAAGUGUUGAGAACCUGAGAAAAGAGAGCUGGCCCAAAGAGUGGAGACAAUAGCCAAUGGCUGUCUUGAUAUUCUCUCCAUGCAAUGACUUCUACUGUGAAAUCGUCGUUUGACAACAAACCUUAUAAAUGAAGUGUCUCGCUGUAACUCACCCUGAACACGAACUUGGUUAAGUGUUUGUGGCCAUCGGAAUUCCCUGCCCACCCCAUCUCACUGUCUUCUGGCAGGAGGAC